rnacentral:pre_miRNA from 1 species
GUAAAAGUUACCAGGGGAUUUUUUAAAAUGAAGAUUCUGAUUGUAGAUCUAGGGUGAAGCACAAGAUUCUUCAUUUGGAAAAACUUCUAGGUGAUGCGGAU